UGAGGAACAUGACCUUCGGCGGGGGAUAGCCGGCCCAACGGCCGGGUAAUACCGCGUACGACCACAUGGGGACAUCCCUGAGUGGUGAAAGCAGCAAUGCGCCGAUGGAGUGCCUCGCGGCCUAUCAGCUAGUUGGUGAGGUAACGGCUCACCAAGGCAACGAUGCGUAGCCGACCUGAGAGGGUGAUCGGCCACAUUGGAACUGAGACACGGUCCAGACCUNUACGGGAGG
rnacentral:rRNA from 1 species